ACCCCAACAGAGCCACUCUGCCAGGUGUGAGAAGUCACACACAAGUGGCCUGGAAGUCUGGCUUCAGCACAAACUAACUCUCCCAUUUGCCAUAUGUCUUGAUUGCCUCUUAGAUAGGAAGUCCUUUGACAUGUUAAUGAUCAUUAGCUUUCAAGAAGAAAAAAGAAACCCUUGUGUUUCAAUUUCAUAUCCAAAAGAGAUAUUA